rnacentral:lncRNA from 1 species
AUGCGUAAUUCGCACAGACAGGAUAUUCCAAUAGAAUAAUAAAGAAUGGAACCAGGUCAUGCGUAAUUCGCACAGACAGGAUAUUCCAAUAGAAUAAUAAAGAAUGGAACCAGGUCAUGCGUAAUCCGCAUAGACAGGAUAUUCCAACAGAUAAUAAAGAAUGGAAUAACAUAAGAAUUUCACCAUGUAUGCGGUAGUUAGCAUAGACAGGUUAUUCCAACAUAAUAAUAAAGAAUGGAAUAACAACCCUUACGAGUAUUAAAAGAAAAUAACUCUCUUCAUGAAUACGAAAGAAUAAUACCCCUUACACAAUAAUGAUAUCCCCUACCUCAAAAGAAGACUAGAAUAGUGAGGUAACAGACUUCUCUUCUUCUUUCUCUCUAUAAUUUCUCUCUAUAAUAAUUUCUCUAUAGCUUUAGUGAAUUGGUGAGAAAUGAAGGAAGAAUGAGCUUCUAUUUAUAGAAAAAUAUAGUUUUAAUAAUUACACGUUGUAGACACUCGAAAUUUUUUGCACACCUGUUACUGACAUUGCAGGAGGGCAAAUUCGUCUUUCGGAGAUAACCCUGGAAGACAACUUACAUCCAUUCCGGUUACUACCAGAAGUCAAUCCCAACCCCGGAGCAUACCCCGGGAACAUCAUUUCCAACCCCGGAACACACACCGGAAGGAUCAUUUCCAACCUCAGAGAUAACCCCGAGUUUCGUCCUUGGCGAUAACCCCAAGGAGUGCUGUUGCAGUUCUGGCGAUAACUCCGGAAAUACCAAUUCCAAAUGCAUGCUAUCAGCUUCAAGCUCAGACCUCCUGCCGAGGCACUCAUACCUCAGACCCGUAGCUAACACCGGGCAGACAGGCACAUUCAGAAGAUGACCUUGCGGCAUUCAAACACUUGCAGUAGUCUAAUCUCAGAUAUAACCCUGAGCAACGUCUACUUUCAGCUCAAACCGGCGAUAACCCUGGUGAGGAGUCAAACGACAUCUUGCCACCUCAACAUUUUCUCUCACAAGAUGACAUGGCGGUAUACAAACAAGUAGUCCAAUCUCAGAUGUAACCCUGAGAAACAUCUGCUUUCAACUCAAACCAACGAUAACCCCAGCGAAGAGUCAAACGUCAUCUUGCCCCUUCAACACCUACGCGUCGUCUCAACACUUCAUACAUACAUACAUCCAAUGAUGUCCAACAAGAACUGAGGAGUUACAAUCCCGAGUGACUAUUACGCGUGGCAGUACUUUGGAUAGAAUUUGAGGCUUGAAGACUAUGGGCAUGGUCCCCUCUUCCUGACUUCGUAAAACCUCUAAUCCAUGUCAUUGUGUAACUCUCGACACAAACAGUCCAAAGAAGGUCACAUAUACCUCGUUCGGAUGCUCGGAUUGAAGUUCUGCAAGUUCAAGCGGACAUUACAGUGCAUGAGUGCAUGUACUUCGAGACGACGGGACCCGCAAAGCCCGGGGACACC